AUGUGCCACUCGCACACCCCGGUCCUGAGCGCGCCGUCCGCGCCCACCUGGUGACUGCUCGCUGGGCUUUUUAGCC
rnacentral:sRNA from 2 species